rnacentral:lncRNA from 1 species
CAUAGAUAACUAGCCCAUUUUAUACAAGUGAUAAAAAGAAGAAUAUUUCAUACAAUACAUUGCAAGUUUAACAAAAUAAUAGAGAAAAUACAAUAUUACAGCAACACCCCCUUUUUGUUGGAUUUUUUAAGAUGAAAAUUCCUUGCUUGUGAUUUUCCCAACCAAAUCAUUUGAUUGCUCCUCCUUGUGCUCUUGAUUUGCUCUAAAAUACUAGGAAAAAUUAAAAGAAGAAGAAGCAAAAAAUGAGGAGGAAAGAAAACGAAAGGAAAAUGAAAACAGGGGAAAAAAAUCCUAGCUUAAGCCCCGAUCCUGUUUUCAUGAUUAAACCCUAGCAAACUUUGCACCCAAGUCUUUGGAUUUUUAGAAAGUGAGAAAACAAUUCCAGGGUCCUAUUUUUAAUUAUAUCUCGGUGCUAAGGCACCGAGUUUCUGUCAAUCAGCCUAGAAAAGAUGGUUUUGUGUCAUUUACAGCUUAGUCCUUAAGAUAAUUGCAUGCCAAGUUUCUCAAUUUUGAUCUUGUACAAUUUGGUCCUCAGUUUUGACUUUUAUAUCAAUUUUGUCCUCCAUAAAUUGCAGUCCAGAGUCCUCAACGUUUGGUACUUGUGCACUUUGGUCCCCAACUUUACAAUUUUUUUACGCUUUUAGUCCCUUUUCAUUCUCUUUUGCUUUGUUCUCUUACCUUCAAUGAUUUUUACCUACAAAAACAAUAAUUACAUAAUUGUGAAUAACAAUUCGCUUAUUUAAUUAAUAUUUAAGCUUAUUUAGGUAUCAAACAAGUGUGCAAAAACAUACUUAUUAAAUACCAAAAACUUAAACUUUUGCUCGUCCUGAGCAAGAUUAUCAAUUAUUACAAUCAUGAAAAAUGAGAUAAAGAUCAACACAUUAUAUAGCUUGCCAAAAAUAUCAAUGUGUAAAAUUGUAUAAUCAAUUCAUAAGUAUGCUCCAAAUAAUGCUAGGAAAAAAUAAUUUAAGCUCAUCCAAUAUUCGAUUGGUGUGUGUGGGCAUAGUCACUUUCAGCUAUCAUCUAAAUUAGGAAAAAGUUGUCAAGAUGGAAAAUUUUUUAAAUUGGCUCUAACCCUACCCUUUGUGGUCAAAUAUUUCAUUUCCUACUUGUGAGAUUCACACUCCUCAAAUAGAUAUAGUUCUUUUUUUCCCCCAAAGUAUAAAUCUAAAGGUUGCUCUCCAAUCACUCAUUUCUAUCUUCUUCUUCUUUUCGCUCUAAUUUGGUUGGGUCUAAUCGAUAAUCUCAACAUCUAGUCAUGUGAUGAUUUUCCAAUGAUAAGUGCUUCCACAUUCAAGUUUAUACUAAAUAAUUCAAACUCACUAGUUAUCUAGACUCAAAUAUCAAAUACAAUUGCAUAACAACUAUUGUUUUUUUCCAGAUCCCAUGUUUUACACCACUCUCUAAAGUUUUUUUCUUGACCCUUGUAGCGAGUUUUAUGUCAAUGAAGUCCCCAGUCGUUUAGGCCAAAGGGUACCGAAUUUUGAGAUUUCCCUAUGGAUUAAUAACUCAAGUUAAAAAGGCUAUGAAGUGAGGCCUAUGAUUCAACAAGUGCAAUAACAUUUUUUUUAAGUACAACAAAAAUGAGACUUAGAUCUCUAGCAUAUUGUUAUUACCUAACUUAUACUUGGCAAAAAACACUCCACACAAAUAUUUUCAACAUGCAUGGAAUCAACACACUUCUGGAUAAUAUCUUUCACUGGCCCGAUCACCCCUAAACUUAUCUCACAAUAUGAUUAAGUGAAAGAGAAAUAGAUAUAGAUUGGUAUAGAUUUUCAAACAUCUCACAACCUCUUUCAACCAAUUCAAAAAUCUCUCCAAUAAUUAAAAAAUUUUCACAUCUAGAUAACAUUUAGUCAUGACUAUUGAACUCAAACUAAUUCAGAAUUUUAAAAUGAAUAAGUAGAAAAAAAAAA